rnacentral:rRNA from 1 species
AUUUUAAUGAGAGGUCCCGCCUGCCCUGUGACUAUAUGUUUAACGGCCGCGGUAUUUUGACCGUGCAAAGGUAGCGCAAUCACUUGUCUUUUAAAUGAAGACCCGUAUGAAUGGCAUAACGAGGGCCAAACUGUCUCCUUAUCCAAGUCAGUGAAAUUGAUCUCUCCGUGCAGAAGCGGGGAUUAUACCAUAAGACGAGAAGACCCUAUGGAGCUUUAGACACUAAAUAGCCCAUGCUUAAUGAUCCAUAAUACCGGAAAAAGCCCGUUGGUACCUUAUUUACUUGUCUUCGGUUGGGGCGACCGUGGAGGAUAAAAUAGCCUCCAUGUGGACUGAAGGCAUGCCUUUAGGACCAAGAAAAACCUUUCUAAGCAACAGAAAAUCUGACUAAUAAAGAUCCGGCAAUGCCGAUCAACGAACCCAGUUACCCUAGGGAUAACAGCGCAAUCCUCUCCCAGAGUCCCUAUCGACGAGGGGGUUUACGACCUCGAUGUUGGAUCAGGACAUCCUAUUGGUGCAGCCGCUAUUAAGGGUUCGUUUGUUCAACGAUUAAAGUCCU